rnacentral:rRNA from 1 species
GGGAUAUUGCACAAUGGGGGGAACCCUGAUGCAGCGACGCCGCGUGAGUGAAGAAGUUAUUCGUAAUGUAAAGCUCUAUCAACGGGGAAGAAGGAAGACGGUACCCGAAUAAGAAGCACCGGCUAAAUACGUGCCAGCAGCCGCGGUAAUACGUAUGGUGCAAGCGUUAUCCGGAAUUACUGGGUGUAAAGGGAGCGUAGACGGUGAAGCAAGUCUGAAGUGAAAUGCAGGGGCUCAACCCCUGAACUGCUUUGGAAACUGUUUUACUAGAGUGUCGGAGAGGUAAGUGGAAUUCCUAGUGUAGCGGUGAAAUGCGUAGAUAUUAGGAGGAACACCGGUGGCGAAGGCGGCUUACUGGACGGCAACUGACGUUGAGGCUCGAAAGCGUGGGGAGCAAACA